CAGUCGCCGCGGUAAUACGAGGGGGGCAAGCGUUGUUCGGAAUUAUUGGGCGUAAAGGGCGCGUAGGCGGUUUGGCAAGUUUGGUGUGAAAUCUUCGGGCUCAACUCGAAGUCUGCAUCGAAAACUGCCGGGCUUGAGUAUGGGAGAGGUGAGUGGAAUUUCCGGUGUAGCGGUGAAACGCGUAGAUAUCGGAAGGAACACCUGUGGCGAAAGCGGCUCACUGGACCAUUACUGACGCUGAGGCGCGAAAGCUAGGGGAGCAAACAGGAUUAGAUACCCCCGUAGUCCCUGUCUCUUAUAA
rnacentral:rRNA from 1 species